CUCUGCCUUCGCUCGCGCCGCUCUCCUUCAGUCUCCCCAGGGCCUGUUUCAUGGAUAGGGUCCCCUUGCCCGCGUGAAAGUCUCAUUCCUCCUCAGCUCAGAAACACUCCAAGGUCUCGGCGCCCUAUACUGGCCUUCCCUCAUCCGAAUACCCCUCGUGCUCCUGAUGUACUUUUCCAUUCCCACUCCCUACUCUGGCAGUCUAGCUUCUAAGCUGAGGAGUUUGGCCUUCGCUCCAGGUGCGGGGACUCGUGGAAGGAUUUGAUUCGCGCUUGAGAAAGAUCGCUCCGCUCCUGUAAGGAAGAGAGCGUGUAGGGGCUGCAACCAGAGACACAGUCAGAAGCUCCGAGGCUACCGCGAUGGUCCAGAUGUGGUCUAUGUUGCCAAGGCUGGUACUG
rnacentral:lncRNA from 10 species